rnacentral:tRNA from 1 species
UCCCUAGUGGCUCAGAUGGUAAAGCAUCUGCCUACAAUGCGGUAGACACAGGUUCAAACCCUGGGUUGGGAA